rnacentral:sRNA from 1 species
GCCAGGUGUGGUGGCGCACACCUGUAAUCCCAGCUGCUCAGGAGACUAAGACAAGAGGAUCACAAGUUUGAGGCCAGCCUGGACAAUUUAGCCAUACUGUGUCUCAA